CCCUUAAACACAUAGCUUUUUAUCUCAGCAAAAUUAUUGGACACCAGCAAGGCUGGCAGGGCAUUGUAGUGAGAAACAAUACAGGCUGAUAAAGUGAUUGCCUGAACUAAUAAGAUAACAGAAUGAACAAGUACAGGUAGUCAAGGAAAAUAACCAGCACUUUUGUUUUAUCCCUUGUCUUCAUACGAUGAAAUAAUUAAACAUAAAAAAAUUAUCAACUCAAAGAAAAAGGAUAUUUGAAGUAACAACGGCUAAAACUUGGUCAGAAAUAAAUCUCCAUAUCCAGAAUCUCAUACUUUGUGUUUCAGGGGGGCAUCUUGCAAGCUCUUCUGCUGAAUGAAAUAGCAUUUGCAGCACAUCCCCAAUAAAAUUUUGACAUAAUUUAUCAAAUAUCUGCAAGAAGGUUCAAGGACCAGUCACUAUAAGUUUCAGUUCAGAAGUCAAGAUAAUUAUGACCCAUAUGCAAUAAACAGAAUGUAGGAGACAGAAAAAACUUACAUUUUUUAGUAGUGUGAUUAGUGAAAUGAAUUGUUCAAAAACCAAAAGGCCGUUUUAUAAAUAUAUAUUACACCAUUUAUACAUUCAUGAUUCACACACAAAAUGCACAUCCUUCGUAUCAUGGCAUAUCCACUUGAUCAUACAAGUUCUGGCCACUAUCUAUUGAAAAAAUGCCAAACAAUGAUCUAAUUACAUUCAGAAGUCAAAGAAAUUUGGCAUGUGUGGAGAGCUAAUUAAUCAGUACAACUUACGUUCAAAGAUUAAUUCAUACUCA
rnacentral:lncRNA from 1 species